CGGCUUGCGAUACCUUUUUAUUAAAAGCCUAUUGAUUUUCACAAAGUUCUUGAUUGUGUCAUAUUUGAACCAAUUUUCUACCACAUAUUUGGCGAGCUUUUCCAGGAGUGUCAGGGGCCGAGGCGUCCUGGCUGACGGCGGGGUCUUUGGACAAUCUAGGCAAACAAGGGUGGCCACCUAGCUAAGUGUGAAUGUCCCCAGGAAAAAAACAGCACAUAAGAGGCCAGAUGGAAGGGCAUGGGCUGAAUUCUGGAGACUGAGUGUACGUCAAGAUACACCAGGCUGGGGAUAUACUUCUUACAGCACCUGCAGUGGUAAAGAUCAUCAUGUCUCUCUUUGAUGGGUGCAUAAGUUUCACAAGAACUAAAGUCCAGCUGAAUAAUGGUCUUGUGUUUAGGAAACCAGAUGGAGAAGGGUUCGCCAGCUUCAGCUGGAAUGAAGAAGGCAGAAAUCUGAACCAGGACGAGAGGUUCCACAUCUGAUGAUCCAAGUGGACCAGAAGGAUCUCUCCCAGUGAUAACAGGGGAUCGAGUCUAUGUUCGAGUGUUCCGAAGGAAGUGGGAUCAGCCGAGGAGAGAAGGACCCUACGAGGUGGCAACAGCCACAAACAUGGCCGUCCAAGUGAAAGGAAGCAAGACGUGGUAUCAUCUAAACCACUGCACCCGAGUCCCGAUAGAGAGAAGGAUACAAUCAUACAGAGAUGAGGACACAGAGGAUGCUGAUUCACCAGGUGGGAGCCCGGAGGGAGCAGGAGCAGCGGAAACGAUCAAAGCGCCAGAGAGGAAUCAAGAAAAUGGCAGACCAGAUACAAGCCAAGAUACGACAAGUGCGCCAACUAACGCACUCAGAAGAAGCACCAGGGGAAAAGAGCCUGAAAAGAAAAGAGACAAACAACCAAAGUUUCCUCCAGUACGGCCAGAAAGCCCAGAAGUGGGGGGGGGGUAACAUGUCUACUACUCCUGAUGAUAUACCUGUUGGGGCAGACCUUGUUGACGGAAGCCCUCUACAGUGGGACCCUGAGGUAUCGCCUAAAGAAUGGGAACAUCUCUUCCCUGAAAUGGACGCCUUCCCAGAUGGAAGCCCAGUUCGGCCUGAGGAGGGAACAACAAGUGAAGAAAGCGGAGGAGAAGCCUUACCAAGAGCAGAAGGAGAAAUCUUGCAAGAUGAAAGAAAUGGGGAUUUCCCCACAAUUGACUUUUCAGCCCUUACCUGGUGUCCAUAAUGAACAAUUGAAAUGAGGACCACAAAAGAACAGUGACAAUGGUAGAGUGAGAACAACUAAGGACAAUAUGGAAAUGAUGCACACACUCACGAUCAAGAUAAAUGAUAAAAACAGGAAGAGAAGAGAGGAACCUGUUGAACAAGAUGAAAAGACAGGAUAUUUUUUUGACAGGUUUAAGUUUCAUGUUCCGCCACAAAUUCUAACAGAACCAUGGGAACAAAGGACAGGCUCUGUAUGGAAGAAGAAACCUGUACCGGAGGAGCCACUCUGUGGAUGGAUGCAUCAUAUAACAAAGGGAGAAGCUGUUUGGGACCCCAAAGGAUGUGACCUGACAUGAAUCAAAUGUGUGGAAGAGUGGGUGCUCACCAUGAAUCAGAUUGAACCAGUUGAAGGUGACAUAACGAGAACAAAAUUGACUGAAGGGAGUAGUUCCUCAGUCAUUCAGAAUUGGUCUUAUGCCAAUACCUAAACAGGAAGAGCCUGUGGUAGCUAGAAAGCAUCAGAACCAGGAGGGUUCUUUACUGACAUUUGGAUUUUUUUUUACAAACUCUAAUGACCCACCUCAAGACAAGAACAUUGCAAAGAUGAUUGACAUAGACAUAUCAGAAUCUGAACCAUUCAAGGAUACCACACGAGAAGAAGUAGUGAAGAAUGAGUGGUGGAAAUGGGCGGAGUAUACGGCAAACAAACACAGAAUGGACAAUUGUAUAUUGUGUAGUAAAUCACCUUUGUCGGAUCUCAUAAUAGUCCCUGAACCAGCAUCAUUUAAAAACUGUGCAACUUGGAAAAAUUUUCAUUGUACCAAGACAAAGUAUUCUAUUCCCUUGUGUGAUAUAGAAUGUAUGAUUGCUCAGGGGAGCACUAGAGGCAGAACUGUGUUGAACAACACUGGGUUGGGUGACAAGGAUUGUGCUGUCUAUAACGUUUGAACUGAAUUAAAUGGACCUUUGUUAGAUGGAAACACUGUGAUUAAAGGUAAAUAUGAAUGUUUUUACAGCCACAACACCGAAGGGAUUAAUGUAGGAAACACCACUGUAGAAUGUGAUACUAUUUGGGUACUAGAGACUGCAGGGGUUAGUAGAAAUAGAAAUAAAGGGUUGAUAACGAAUAGAAAAGGGUUGUGUGGUAAAAUAACUCAGGUUGCGCCAUCUCUUAUUAUGCUAAAAUAUCAAGACAGAGGUAUUGAGGAUAGUUUCUGGAUGUGUGGUAAAAACAAACUGUUGAAUGUACUGCCAGAUGGAUGGAUUGUUUUUUUGUGCCUUAAUUAGAGCAAUUCAACAGGUUAAGUCACCCCAUGAUGACUAUGAUAACUCUAGAGUUAAGAGGGAGUGAGAAAAAUCCUGAGGUAUACCUUGAUGUAAUUGGACAGCCUAGAGGAGUACCUUGGGAGUUCAAGGCAAGAGAUGAAGUUAAAUCUGGAUUUGAAUCUAUAUUUUUGUGGAUAACACCAAAUAAGAACAGAGUGGAUUAAUUAUAUAUACUAUAACCAACAGAGAUUCAUUAACUAUACUGACUUGGCUCUAACGGCGUUGGGGGAACAGGUACGGGCUACCAGUAAAAUGUCUUGGCAAAAUAGACAGGCUCUCAAUUGGCUUUUGGCAGAGAAGGGUGGAGUUUGUGUUAUGUUCGGGGAUGAUUGUUGCACCUUUAUUCCCAAUAACACUGCGCCUAAUGGAUCCCUUGCAAUCGCUAUGGCUAAACUUAAAGGUUUACGAGUAGAGGUUAAGGCAAAUGCUGGGGUUGACUCUCAUGUUUGGGAUUGGUUGGACUUAGCAUUGGGGAAAUGGGGAGCUAUGUUUGUUAGGAUGGCCAUUAUGCUGGGCGGG
ensembl:lncRNA